GAUUGCACUUUGUUUGGUGUUUAUGCCGAACAGUUUUUGACAUUUGUUACUUCUCAUGAUAUGGAAAAGCCAAUUAUAAUAACACUACAGUUUGCAAGAACGAAGAUUUGGAAUGAGCACCCCAUAGUUCAAAAUGAUUAUUAUGGAACUAGACUCUUGAUCAACGCUUCUAUUGAUGAGGUUGAAGAAUUCAAGCAAAGGAUGAGUGAUAACGGCAUUCAACUUUCUGGGUUAAAUAAGAUCCCCCCAAACAGUCACAAUCAAGUGUAACUACAGAAGAUGAUUUUUUGGUGGACAUAGACCAUCAACCUUUAGCCACAAUUGAUAAUCAAAAAAAGACUACUUGGUACACGAACUUAUCAACUAUAGAAGGAUUUCUUGAUGAGGAUGAAUGGUCUUAUAUUGCCUGCAAAAAAA